rnacentral:rRNA from 1 species
UGGGGAAUUUUCUGCAAUGGGGGCAACCCUGACGGAGCAACGCCGCGUGCGGGAGGAAGGCCUUUGGGUUGUAAACCGCUUUUCUCAGGGAAGAAGCUCUGACGGUACCUGAGGAAUCAGCCUCGGCUAACUCCGUGCCAGCAGCCGCGGUAAUACGGAGGAGGCAAGCGUUAUCCGGAAUCAUUGGGCGUAAAGCGUUCGCAGGCGGCGAUUCAAGUCUGCUGUCAAAGCCCGCAGCUCAACUGCGGACAGGCAGUGGAAACUGAAGCACUAGAGUACGGUAGGGGUAGAGGGAAUUUCCAGUGUAGCGGUGAAAUGCGUAGAGAUUGGAAAGAACACCAGUGGCGAAGGCGCUCUACUGGACCGUAACUGACACUCAGGGACGAAAGCGAGGGGAGCGAAAGGGAUUAGAUACCCCGGUAGUCC